AAAAAUAAAAAAACUAAUAAUUGAAGUCAUGUCGGCUACUGUAGUGAGGGAUGUAAAGUUUAAUGGCGGGUUUUAUCAUCGAGAUCUGAAAAAAGCUUCCUCCGGCGAACAAUUUCUGCUCAAUACACGAGAGAGUGAAGGAAUGGCCGGCGCUCAUGAUAGUGCUGUCGACUUGGAGACAACGAUAAGCAAUGCCUCAUUGGAAAGAGAGAUGGCGGAGACUGGUGUUGAUUUUCUCUUUGAGAGGUUGAAUCAGCUAAGGGAGGGCUCAAUAGGUUUCCACCUUUCUCUUGUUGACUCUAUUUCUGACGAGUUACAAUUUCUGAGAACUUUUCUCAAGGACUCGGAGGAGUAUGGAGUUAAAUAUUUGGUUACACAAAUCCGAGAUGUGGCGAAUGAGGCAGCAUUGAUUUGUGAUCCUGAAAGAUUAGGGUUUCCAAAAUCAGAAUGCCCAGUGCCCAAAAGAGGGAGAGUGAUCCAAGCAAUCCUGGAAAAUAUAUUCCUAGGAAUUUGUAAUCCAAAUGAAAAAAUACAUCAUAGAAUUCUCAGUAUGCAUCAUAAUAUAAUGUUCAGUGAUGUCUUCAAACAGAUUACGGCUGUGAAGAAACAGGUGAUCCAGUUUUAUGAAAAGGAGAUUGUGGUGGGCUUUGAUCAUCAAGUAGAAAUGUUGAGGGACCGACUUGCUGGAAUGCAGAAGAAGCAACUCGAAGUUGUCUCUAUUGUCGGAAUGGCCGGAUUGGGUAAGACCACUCUCGCAAGAAAAUUAUAUAAUGAUUCUUUCAUCCGAUAUCACUUCUAUAUUCGUGGGUGGGUUUGUGUGUCUCAAAUAUAUCGGAAACGGGAUUUGUUGCUUGACAUUCUAAGUUCUGUUCUCAAGCAUAAAGAGGAAAUUUCCGCACUAAGUGAUGAAAAGUUGGGAGAAGUGUUAUACAAACGAUUGAAGGGUAAUAUAUAUCUCGUUGUGAUGGAUGAUAUAUGGAAUAUUGGGGUCUGGAAUGACUUGAAAAGAUACUUUCCGAACGACAACAAUGGCAGUAGAGUUUUGUUCACUACUCGGCACACUGAUGUGGCUUUGCUUGCCAAUCAUGAUGAUACUCCUCAUCAUCUCCCUUUCCUAAAUGAAGAUCAUAGUUGGCAUCUCUUACAAAAGAAGAUAUUUUGGAACGAAAGCUGCCCUCCGGAGUUGAUGGAUAUCGGAAAGCAAAUAGUAAGAAAAUGUCAAGGUUUACCGCUUGCAAUUGUUGUGGUGGCUGGACUUCUUGCAAAGAUGGACAAGAAUCGACAUUCGUGGAUGCAAGUUGCUGAAAGAUUAAGUUCAUACAUUGGAAGUGAUACAGCGCAAUGCAUGGAUAUUCUAGCACUAAGUUACAACAACUUGCCUGAUCACUUGAAAUCAUGCUUUCUCUACUUUGGUACAUUCCCUGAGGCCUAUGAAAUCUCAGUGCGGAAGUUGAUAUGGUUAUGGAUCGCAGAGGGAUUUAUAAACCAAAUUGGGCACGAAAACACGAGCCUGGAGGAUGUGGCUGAGAAAUACUUGAUGGAUUUGAUUGAUAGAAAUUUGGUCUUGGUAGCCAAAAGAAGGUCAGCUGGUGGAAUCAAAGCAUGUCGUGUCCAUGACCUGUUGCACGAUUUAUGCUUGAGAAAAGCCUCGGAAGAGAAUUUCCUAAUGCAGUUUUACAAGGAUGGAAUCAGAACAUAUCCUGGGUAUGAUCAAGGUCCAUCUUCUUCUUCUCCUCCUUCAGUUCCUACUGCAAAGAAGCAUUUUCGCUUAUGUGUUGAUUCAUUCUUUUUAAAUUAUAACAAUUAUACACAGCCUUUUUUUCCCCACAUCCACUCUUUCGUGUGUUUUGUCUCUCAACAGAUUUCAUUACCUACUGAGAGAAUUUCAUUCAUUUGUCAGACCUUCGAACAACUUAGGGUUUUGGAUUUAUGGGCCAUCAGUAUCUUCUCUUUUCCAAUUGAAAUAGUUCAGCUAUCUCUUCUGAGGUACUUAGCUCUUCGGGGUGAGUUCCAGGAAAUCCCCGCAUCAAUAGAAAACCUUGGGCAUCUAGAAAUUCUUAUCAUAUCACAUGUGGAGAAAUCAGUCUUACCGAAUGAGCUAUGGAAUAUCUUAACAUUAAGGCAUCUAUGCAUUGCGGGGAAAAGUAUAUUCGUAAGAAAGGUUGGAUAUUCCUCUGUAUUGCAUAACCUACUAACCAUCUCACAUAUAGAUCCUACAACGUAUUGCCAGGAUUUAUUGGCAAGGACUCCCAAUCUUCGGAAGUUGGGAUUUUGUGGGUCGUUUAAUACAGUCAACUCUGAUAAUUUUUGGUUUCCUGAUCUAGACUUCCUACUGUGUCUUGAAACCUUGAAGUUGUCAAACAUGUUUGUUCCUCGCCACCAUAAUUUCAAUCUCCAAGGCAUUAAGUUCCCCCCAAAUCUUAAAAGGUUAACUUUGUCAAAUACCGCUCUCAUGUGGAAGGAAAUGUCAGUCCUUGGGAUGUUACCCUACCUAGAGGUUCUCAAACUGGAGUCUCAUGCCUGCAUCGGGUCAAUAUGGAAAACAAGUGAUGGAGGGUUUCAUAGACUCAAAUACUUGAGAUUGUAUUACAUAGAUCUUGAACAAUGGAAUGCCUCCAACAUUCAUUUUCCAAUGCUUCAACAUCUAGUGCUGCAUAAUUGUCGUAAACUCAAGGAGAUUCCAUCGGAAUUAGGGGAUAUAUGUACCCUACACACAAUUGAGGUAAGAAGUUGUAGUGAUUCAGCAGUAAUUUCAGCCAGGGAAAUUCACAGAGAGCAAGAGGACAAAGGAAAUGAUUCACUGAAGAUCAUUAGAGUAAAUUCUCUGGAUUGGGGAGCUGGAGACAUAUUUUAAAGUCCGUGUUAAGUUCCAGUGUGCUGGCAUGAUGAUCAAUGAAGUACGUAUCAGAAACCAGACUGAUGCUUUGUAGUUCUUAGUUGCCACUCAUGGGAGGCCACAAAGAGAUCCAGUUUCUCUGUCUGUCAAAGCCUGGAGCUCUAUUUGAGCACAAAGGAGUGCCCAACACUCGCUUAACAAGAUCAGAUAUUACCAAGGAGAGUGUACUACAGCAAUAGAAAAUUGAAAAGUUCAGAGAUAUAUCAGGUAUAUCUUUACUUUCAACAUUACCUUCGGAAAAUAAAAACAACCUAUCGGAGUUGUUAGUAUAUUUUAAGGAGAAAGAGCUUGUAAAUAAAAAUUGUUGCUUGGAAGGAGAUCAGAAUUGAAGACUUAGUGCUGAAGAACUGGUAAGCUUUGGAAUUGUGCUGAAGAACUGGUAAGCUUUGGAAUUUAUAUUAUUCGCUUUACAUUUUGUGGUUUUGCAAUCCAGAAAACCUUGUGUUUGAUGACGAUGAUGAUGUGGUUAUGAAAGCUUUAUUUAUUUUUUUUAUCUAUGUUGAAACAUGUUUAGAUCUUCUUGUUGGCUUUAUUCCCUAUUUGUGCUUGAUUUCCUUUUGUAA